rnacentral:lncRNA from 1 species
CGCUUCAUUAUCCUCCUUUGAUUGCUGUAGGAAAUGACGUAGGCAGACAGAGGGGUAGAAGAGCAGCACUGCAGAGCCACACUGCUGGCUGACAGCUCCAGAUGUCUGAUGGAUGAGAACACCUGGAGGAUGCUCAUAGGGGAUGUGUGCUGAGAACUUUCUAACAGAGUGCCUCACAUCUGGCACUGGAGGAAGACCCCCACCCCGCACCGUCACUUCUCUUCCUCCCCAGGCUUCGGGGGUUUUCAGGAAGAGAGCGAGGAACCGUAUAAAAGUUCCCAAAUGGGAGAGGAGCUCAUUCACUCGGAUCCGUUCCCUCUGCACAACCUUUCCAGACAAGUGCUCCUGCUCUGACCGAAGAUGUGCUCCCGUGCUGACAGAGGCUGCCACAGCUCUGAGAGCUCCUCCUGCCACAGCGGGGGUUCCUCCUGCCAUGGCUCUGAGGAGGUCACCUGCCACGAAGUGAGCGCCGUGCAGGACGUGACGCCCGUGGUGGUCCUGCAGCCUCAGGGCCCCGUGGUCACCGUGCCCGCUCAGGGCCCCGUGGCUCCCGUUCCAUGCCAGCAGCAGCAGCAGCAGAUCAAGCAGCCGGUGCAGUGGCCCACACAGCAGCAGAAGUGAAGGGGCUAUGCUCAUCCCUCACCUCUGCAGGGCACAGCCCUGAGCAGGGGCAGCUCCUGCCCCUUCUCUCCAGCACAUAUUGCCUCUCCUGAUGCUGUGACGUGGCAUUGGCAUAUCAGAAAUGUGAUUUGCCCUCUUGCAUUUGUAUCCGUUAUUUUCCUGCUUCUGUAUCCAGUAGCAAAGAUGUGAUAUUAAAAUGUAAAGCUCACAAAACGUGCUGGUGUCCUCGUUGUGUGUCCACCGUUAACCACCUUUAGCAUCAUCUCCAAGCCCAGCUUUGUGAAUGAAAGCUGUCUUCCACGUUGCAGACUGCUUCCCACUUCCCAUUGCAGCAAUGCAUCAAGGCUUCCGUCCCCACCCUUGCGCAUUUGCCAGACAAAUCCAGAUGCCAGGCUGGGCAAAACUGUCUGGGUUGAAUGUUAAAGCCACCCUGUGCAAUGCCUGGCCCUGGGGCUCAGAGUCCUGGCACGUUUUGAAAGAGCUAAAAACAAAGCCUUGGAUUUGCAAUACGGGGUUUUCCUUACAUGGCUCCAUUUAGGAAGCCUGGAACUCACUGGUGACCAUGAACAAGUGGGCAUAAGCAAAGGACCAGGUUCUAUUUAAUCUUCCUUCUGAUCUAUUCUAUAUCAAGAAUAUGGGGUUAGAUAGAUUAUUUCCACAAGCUCACUCUACCUCUGAAAAUGCCAACAAGGGCUCGUAUUGCCUAGAUGAAAUAUCAGCUGUUGCAAAAAGCCCCUUGGGUAUAAGUCAGGCUGUGCACUCAUCAUUGACUCCCAUUGUGAACUGCAAACUCAUGACUGAGCAUCACAUAGAGAUGAGGGGGAAAAAAAGGAAAAAAAAAAAAA